AGUGAACGCUGGCGGUAGGCCUAACACAUGCAAGUCGAACGGCAGCACAGUAAGAGCUUGCUCUUACGGGUGGCGAGUGGCGGACGGGUGAGGAAUACAUCGGAAUCUACUUUUUCGUGGGGGAUAACGUAGGGAAACUUACGCUAAUACCUCAUACGACCUACGGGUUAAAGCAGGGGAUCUUCGGACCUUGCGCGAUUGAAUGAGCCGAUGUCGGAUUAGCUAGUUGGCGGGGUAAAGGCCCACCAAGGCGACGAUCCGUAGCUGGUCUGAGAGGAUGAUCAGCCACACUGGAACUGAGACACGGUCCAGACUCCUACGGGAGGCAGCAGUGGGGAAUAUUGGACAAAGGGCGCAAGCCUGAUCCAGCCAUACCGCGUGGGUGAAGAAGGCCUUCGGGUUGUAAAGCCCUUUUGUUGGGAAAGAAAAGCAGCAGGUUAAUACCCCGCUGUUCUGACGGUACCCAAAGAAUAAGCACCGGCUAACUUCGUG
rnacentral:rRNA from 1 species